rnacentral:rRNA from 1 species
UACGUAGGUGGCAAGCGUUGUCCGGAUUUACUGGGCGUAAAGGAUGCGUAAGCGGAUACUUAAGUCAGAUGUGAAAAUCCCGAGCUUAACUUGGGAACUGCAUUUGAAACUGGGUAUCUAGAGUGCGGGAGAGGUAAGUGGAAUUCCUAGUGUAGCGGUGAAAUGCGUAGAGAUUAGGAAGAACACCAGUGGCGAAGGCGACUUACUGGACCGUAACUGACGCUGAGGCAUGAAAGCGUGGGGAGCAAACAGG